rnacentral:hammerhead_ribozyme from 1 species
AGGCGAAACGCCCGGCGCUUAGGCGUCGGUGCGUCGGUAGGGGGCUGGCCGCCCCGCCCUGAUGAUGCCAGGCCGAA